rnacentral:rRNA from 1 species
AAGACCGGUGCCAGCCGCCGCGGUAAUACCGGCGCCCCAAGUGGUCGUCACUAUUAUUGGGCCUAAAACGUCCGUAGCCGGUUUGGUAAAUCCGUGGGUAAAUCAGACAGCCUAACUGUCUGAAUUCUGCGGGGACUGCCAAACUUGAGACCGGGAGAGGUACGGGGUACCUGCGGGGUAGCGGUAAAAUGCGAUCAUCCCGUAGGGACCACCUGUUGCGAAGGCGCCGUACUAGAACGGAUCUGACGGUCAGGGACGAAGCCUAGGGGCACGAACCGGAUUAGAUACCCGGGUAGUCCUAGGUGUAAACGCUGUGGACUUGGUGUCGGGGACUUUCAGAGAGUUUCCGGUGCCGGAGUGAAGAUGUUAAGUCCACUGCCUGGGGAGUACGGUCGCAAGGCUGAAACUUAAAGGAA